rnacentral:ncRNA from 1 species
AAAAAAUCAAUGAAAAAGAGAGUAGUUAUCUAGGAAGUGAAAGCGAGUCAGGGGUGGUGUGAGCCUGAUACGGAGUAGAUAAUGAAGCGCACUUUUGAGAUGCUGACCCGAAUAAAGUAGGGGAGCCGGAGAAUCCUCCGUUAUAAAGUAAAGCCGGUUCAGAAUUGAACAAUUAGAGUGGUACCGCGGGAUUAUCAAACUCUCGUCUCUUUA